UUAGUGGCGGACGGGUGAGUAACGCGUGAGUAACCUGCCUUGGAGUGGGGAAUAACCCAGAGAAAUUUGUGCUAAUACCGCAUAAUGCAGCUGAGUCGCAUGGCUCUGGCUGCCAAAGAUUUAUCGCUCUGAGAUGGACUCGCGUCUGAUUAGCUAGUUGGCGGGGUAACGGCCCACCAAGGCGACGAUCAGUAGCCGGACUGAGAGGUUGGCCGGCCACAUUGGGACUGAGACACGGCCCAAACUCCUACGGGAGGCAGCAGUGGGGAAUAUUGCACAAUGGGCGCAAGCCUGAUGCAGCGACGCCGCGUGAGCGAAGAAGUAUUUCGGUAUGUAAAGCUCUAUCAGCAGGGAAGAAAAUGACGGUACCUGACUAAGAAGCUCCGGCUAAAUACGUGCCAGCAGCCGCGGUAAUACGUAUGGAGCAAGCGUUAUCCGGAAUUACUGGGUGUAAAGGGAGCGUAGACGGACUUGCAAGUCUGAUGUGAAAGGCGGGGGCUCAACCCCUGGACUGCAUUGGAAACUGUAGGUCUUGAGUGCCGGAGAGGUAAGCGGAAUUCCUAGUGUAGCGGUGAAAUGCGUAGAUAUUAGGAGGAACACCAGUGGCGAAGGCGGCUUACUGGACGGUAACUGACGUUGAGGCUCGAAAGCGUGGGGAGCAAACAGGAUUAGAUACCCUGGUAGUCCACGCGGUAAACGAUGAAUACUAGGUGUUGGGGAGCAAAGCUCUUCGGUGCCGCAGCAAACGCAAUA
rnacentral:rRNA from 1 species